rnacentral:rRNA from 1 species
CCUACGGGCGGCAGCAGUGGGGGAUAUUGCACAAUGGGGGAAACCCUGAUGCAGCGACGCCGCGUGAGUGAAGAAGUAUUUCGGUAUGUAAAGCUCUAUCAGCAGGGAAGAAAAAAGACGGUACCUGACUAAGAAGCCCCGGCUAACUACGUGCCAGCACCCGCGGUAAUACGUAGGGGGCAAGCGUUAUCCGGAUUUACUGGGUGUAAAGGGGGCGCAGCCGGCGAUGCAAGCCAGGAGUGAAAGCCCGGGGCCCAACCCCGGGACGGCUCUUGGAACUGCGUGGCUGGAGUGCAGGAGGGGCAGGCGGAAUGCCUGGUGUAGCGGUGAAAGGCGUAGAUAUCAGGAGGAACACCGGUGGCGAAGGCGGCCUUCUGGACUGCAACUGACGUUGAGGCACGAAAGCGUGGGGAGCAAACAGGAUUAGAUACCCCGGUAGUC